UCCGAUUACGAUUUUACUCUAGAGUCUAAUGGUUCUCUUGAUUAUAUUAUAAAUAUACAACUCAAACUCCGAAUUGCAACCCAAGCUAUAGGUUUAAUAAACGUUGAAACUAUUCCUCCUGCGCCAUCUCCAUUGCUGUUUUCUCUCUGCUUGCUAUUACAAUCCAAUUCAAGAAGUUCGUUCAACUUUGAUGCUCAAGUCUAACAACAUAUAUAACCAUUGACAGAUAUUCAAAUUCAGCAUAAUUGUGAUUAAAAUUUUGGUCCUUCCCUGGAAUGAAAAUACUGUUUGUCAAUAAAUUUGGGAGUGAUUUUUGCGGUUAUAUUUAAUGGGCUGCUACUGUUCAACUUCAAAGAAAACCGAAGCACAAGGUUAUGAGGAACCCACUGUUCUUGCAUCUGUGACACCUUGUGAGUACCAUGAUCCAUCAUUGAAUGUUACUGUUAGUGAAGUAGAGGCCUUGCAUGAACUCUACAAGAAGUUGAGCAAUUCAAUUAUUGAAGAUGGUCUUAUUCACAGGGAAGAAUUCCAGCUGGCACUAUUCAGGAAUAAAAACAAGAAAAAUCUGUUUGCAGAUAGGAUUUUUGACUUAUUUGAUCUCAAGCGCAACGGGGUCAUUGAGUUUGGGGAAUUUGUUCGAUCACUGGGUGUUUUUCACCCAAAUGCAGCAUUAGAAGACAAGAUUACCUUUGCUUUUAGGUUGUAUGAUCUGAGGCAGACAGGGUUUAUUGAACGAGAGGAGUUAAAGGAGAUGGUAUUGGCACUUUUGCAUGAGUCGGAUCUUGAGCUUUCAGAUGAUAUGAUUGAAACCAUUGUGGAUAAGACUUUUAGUGAUGCUGAUAUAAACGGUGAUGGAAGGAUCGAUCAAGAUGAAUGGAAAGCAUUUGUGUCCAAGCAUCCAUCCUUGAUAAAGAAUAUGACACUUCCAUAUCUGAAGGAUAUUACCUUGGCUUUUCCCAGUUUUGUCACAGGAACGGAUAUUGAAGAGUCAGAGAUGUGACUCUGGGAGGUUUUGGCUUCACCAAUAAUGAUGCUAUACACUAGCAUAGUAGUAUUUGAGUCAUUUUGAAUACAAGGAACUCAUGCUAAUACGGACUAAUAAAAUAACAGCACGUAAAUAUUAAGUAAUGCAUGGUAGGCUGGAUUUAAAUGUUACAGCUAUUGGUGGUAUGUGGAAGGCAAGAAAUGACUUGCUAUGCCUAUAUUCAAUGCUUAAGUUUCUUAUUGUCCAUUGAGAUAUUACAGCUAUGAUCAGAAAAGUCAAGAAUUAAUACUCUUUGUCAAGCAAAAUUUACGUGGCAUUCAACUUAUCUUCCCUAAUUGCUCACCCGGGCAUCUAGCUUUUUUUACCCUGCAUGCAUGUGGAUCAAAUUCAUCAGUUUGUCAUCGCUCCUCGGCAAGUAUUCUGCAUCACGGAAUUAUAAGAUUAACUUGGUGAUAAAAGGAAGAGGGAAGAAAAAGUUGUGAUUUUUUAUUUUUCAUUAACAAAAUAUUAGCAAUCAAACUACUAACAUUUGCCGAUAAAAAAAAAAAUAAAGUACCGUGGCAUCACAUAUGGAGGAGGGAAGCUAAUCGGUGAGCUUAUGCAAUUGCUAAACAUGGAUUGAAUAUAGACUGCAGUGUUAGACUUUUCAAUGUUGUGCUUCCCCCCACCCCCAGAGACCUGGUAUAAUGUUUUUUAUGUUGACGAAAAUGUCCCUCACUACUACAAAAAUAGUGUAUAUCCAUCGUAGACAAGAAAACUUAUUUUCAUUUUGUAUAAA